rnacentral:rRNA from 1 species
CCUACGGGCGGCAGCAGUGGGGAAUAUUGGACAAUGGGGGGAACCCUGAUCCAGCCAUGCCGCGUGUGUGAAGAAGGCCCUCGGGUUGUAAAGCACUUUCAGUGAGGAAGAACGCCUGGUGGUUAAUACCCAUCAGGAAAGACAUCACUCACAGAACAAGCACCGGCUAACUCCGUGCCAGCAGCCGCGGUAAUACGGAGGGUGCGAGCGUUAAUCGGAAUUACUGGGCGUAAAGCGCGCGUAGGUGGCUUGAUAAGCCGGUUGUGAAAGCCCCGGGCUCAACCUGGGAACGGCAUCCGGAACUGUCAAGCUAGAGUGCAGGAGAGGAAGGUAGAAUUCCCGGUGUAGCGGUGAAAUGCGUAGAGAUCGGGAGGAAUACCAGUGGCGAAGGCGGCCUUCUGGACUGACACUGACACUGAGGUGCGAAAGCGUGGGUAGCAAACAGGAUUAGAUACCCCGGUAGUC